UCAUUUCAUUUGUAGUCGUCUACGAUUAUUUUUGGUUCCUGGUUCCACAAAUUCGGGUCAAAUUCAAAAGAGCGUCGAUGCGAAGGUUGAGUUGAUAAGCUACAACACGACAUCUCCAAAAAGCCCAAGGCUCCCCAUGACAACAAGGCAUCCCCUUUUUCAUCAAUGAAAAAUAAACUUUGCGAUGACAAACCGGAUUACAAUACGAACGUUUUGGAAAUCAGGACCUGGAAAUCGACCUGGGCCUGGAUCGUUCGUUUAAAUGGUCAUGUGUAGUCGCUGAUGUACCAACUGUAAUUAUUCCUAGCAAAGUUCCAUUUGCUUGUUGACGUCAACAAGCAACAUCUCACCAACGGCACAAUCUGUAAUCUCGCAGGAUUUUGCUUCGCCAUAUAACGAUAAAGCGCAUCAAUGCAAGGACCAGCAAACUGAUGACCUCACCCUCGACAACAUGAGCACAUCAGAUUCACCUUCAGUUCGCCACUACAUAACAAAACUGGAGCACCAGUAGCAGAUCGUCCCAGACGCGUGAUGGAAGAGAAGUACAGAUACAUCGUCAGGAUUUGUAGUCCAUGGACCAGCCCGUUGCACAUGGAAGCAAACACCAGUGGCGUACAGCGACAGAACAGCCUGGAUGGUCACAUUCAUGUCGGGCAUAUUGAAUGUUUCGAACCUGAUCUGAUUUAUCCUCUCACGGUUAGCCUUGGGGUUAAGAGGGGCCUCGUUCAGCAAGACGCACGCAUCUCGCUAUUGCUGAGGACCAAGAACGUUGGUGAUGAAUGAGCUGCGUGUGGCCCCCGAGGAUCACCCCGUUUUGCUGGCCGAGCCCCUCUUAGCCCGAAGGCUAACCGUGAGAGGAUGACUCAGAUCAGGUUCGUAACAUUCAAUGUACCCGCCAUGAAUGUGGCCAUCCAGGCUGUUCUGUCGCUGUACGCCUCUGAUGAAUGGGGGGAAAUCGUUUAACGAUCUAGAACUUUAACGGGAAUCCUUCAAUGGAAGUUCGGUCUUGAGAGACGAAAGAGAACAUUCGAGCAAUUAAAGCUAAAUAUUCGAAGUA